AGCAGCCGCGGUAAUUCCAGCUCCAAUAGCGUAUAUUAAAGUUGUUGCAGUUAAAAAGCUCGUAGUUGAAUUUCGGAAUCUGUCCGUUGGUCGGGCUUCAUUGUCCGUACUGAUGUGAUGGGUUCUUACCUUCUGAAUAACCAGCAUGUCAUUAAUUUGGUGUGUUGGGGAAGCAGGACUAUUACCUUGAAAAAAUUAGAGUGCUCAAAGCAGGCUAGUGCCUGAAUACAUUAGCAUGGAAUAAUAAAAUAGGACGGCAUGGUUCUAUUUUGUUGGUUUCUAGGAUCACCGUAAUGAUUAAUAGGGAUAGUUGGGGGCAUUAGUAUUCAAUUGUCAGAGGUGAAAUUCUUGGAUUUAUUGAAGACUAACUUCUGCGUAAAGCAAUUUGCCUAAGGAUGUUUUCAUUAAUCAAGAACGAAAGUUAGGGGAUCGAAGACGAUCAGAUACCGUCGUAGUCUUAACCAUAAACUAUGCCGACUAGGGAUCGGACGAUGUUAAUUUUANAAUGACUCGUUC
rnacentral:rRNA from 1 species